rnacentral:rRNA from 1 species
AGUGAACGCUGGCGGUAGGCCUAACACAUGCAAGUCGAACGGCAGCACAGUAAGAGCUUGCUCUUACGGGUGGCGAGUGGCGGACGGGUGAGGAAUACAUCGGAAUCUACUUUUUCGUGGGGGAUAACGUAGGGAAACUUACGCUAAUACCGCAUACGACCUACGGGUUAAAGCAGGGGAUCUUCGGACCUUGCGCGAUUGAAUUAGCCGAUGUCGGAUUAGAUAGUUGGCGGGGUCAAGGCCCACCAAGGCGACGAUCCGUAGCUGGUCUGAGAGGAUGAUAAGCCACACUGGAACUGAGACACGGUCCAGACUACUACGGGAGGCAGCAGUGGGGAAUAGUGGACAAUGGGCGCAAGCCUGAUCCAGCCAUACCGCGUGGGUGAAGAAGGCCUUCGGGUUGUAAAGCCCUUUUGUUGGGAAAGAAAAGCAGAAGGUUAAUACCCCGCUGUUCUGACGGUACCCAAAGAAUAAGCACCGGCUAACUUCGUG